UCUUCUCUUGAACUUUUUCAAAUUCUCUGAAGAAGCCAAUGGGGUCUUUUUUACAUCAUGACUUCAUCUGAACGCAAAAACAAGAAAUAAGUUUUAUUUUUAAAAUGACUCUGACUCAGUUCUGAUAAGCAUUUUAGACAUGAGUCUACAUCAGCAAAUAGGAUCAGAGGGAGAUCGUCAACCUUCUGCUUCCUCUGUGAGCUUGCCUUCUGUCAAAAAGGCACCCAAACAGAGAAGAUUUUCAAUAGGCUCUCGUAUUCGGAGGAAGAUGGACAGCAAACGAAAAUCAAGGGAGCUCAAUGGUGGAGUGGAAGCAAUUGCAAGGAUUGAGAGGAUACAUUCUGAAAUGUGUGCUGAUAAGAACUCCAUUUUCUCGACAAAUACCUCUUCUAACAAUGGAUUGACUUCCAUCAGCAAACAAACUGGAGACUUUAUGGACUGUCCUCUGUGCCUUUUACAGCUUUCUCAAGACAGAUUUCCUGAUAUCAUGACAUGUCAUCAUAGAUCUUGUGUGGAUUGCUUACGACAAUACCUAAGGAUAGAAAUCUCUGAAAGUAGAGUUAACAUCAGUUGUCCAGAAUGCCCUGAACGGUUUAACCCCCAUGACAUUCGCUUGAUAUUAAGUGAUGAUGUCUUAAUGGGAAAAUAUGAAGAAUUUAUGCUUCGACAGUGGCUUGUUGCAGAUCCUGACUGUAGGUGGUGUCCGGCUCCAGACUGUGGAUAUGCUGUGAUAGCAUUUGGAUGUGCCAGGUGUCCAAAGUUAACGUGUGGGCGAAAAGGCUGUGGAACAGAGUUCUGCUACCACUGUAAACAGAUCUGGCAUCCCAAACAGACCUGUGAGGAUGCUCUAUGGGAAAGAGCCCAGCGUUUAUGCUUAAGAACUUUACCCUUUUCACCUAUUAGUUACAAACAGGAAUCUAGAGCAGCAGCUGAUGACAUAAAGCCGUGUCCACGAUGUGCUGCUUAUAUAAUCAAGAUUGAGGAUGGGAGUUGCAAUCAUAUGACAUGUGCUGUCUGUGGUUGUGAGUUUUGUUGGUUGUGCAUGAAAGAAAUCUCCAAUUUACAUUAUCUAAGUCCCUCGGGUUGUAGUUUAUGGGGGAAAAAACCCAGGAGCCGAAAGAAGAAAAUCCUGUGGCAGCUGGGAACCCUUGUUGGUGCUCCCAUAGGGAUUGCUCUCAUAGCAGGCAUUGCCCUGCCUGCCAUGAUCAUUGGCAUUCCUGUGUAUGUGGGCCGCAAGAUUCAUGAUUUCUAUGAAGGCAGAGAUGUUUCAAAACACAAGCGGAAUAUGGCCAUAGCAAGUGGUGUUACCCUGUCUGUAAUCAUCUCUCCGGUGGUAGCUGCAGUGACUAUAGGCAUUGGUGUUCCUACCAUGCUAGCUUAUGUCUAUGGUGUGGUCCCAAUUUCUCUCUGCAGAAACAGGGAUUGUGGAGAGUCUGCAGGAAAUGGGAAAGGAGUAAGGAUUGAGUUUGAUGAUGAAAAUGACAUAAACGUAGGUGGGACUAACACAGCCACGGAUACAACAUCAGUAGCAGAAGCAAGGCACAACCCUAGCAUAGGAGAGGGAAGGGUCAGCGGCCUAACUGGCAGUUUGAGUGCAAGUGGAAGCCACAUGGAUGGAAUAGGCACUAUUGGCAACAACCUGAGUGAGACAGUCGGUACCAUAGCCUUAGCUGGAGCUAGUAGCACAGGCAGUCUGUCAGGAAGUGCCAUGGUAAACUGUUUCAGCAAUUUGCAAGUUCAAGCAGAGGUGCAGAAAGAAAUGUGUAAUCUCAGUAGAGAAUCUGGCACAGUGAGUUUGGGAAGAGUUUGUAAUAACAGCAGCACCAAAGCAGUGGCAGGAUCCAUUCUGAACUCCUACAUCCCUCUCGACAGAGAAGGGAACAGUAUGGAAGUGCAAGAUGAUAUUGAAUCAAAGUCAUUCAAGUUCCAACACAGCCGUGGAAGCAGCAGUGUAGAUGACAGUGGUGCUGCCUGAGGCCACAUGGACAGGUCAUACAGUGGCUUGCCUGAAGGUAAAUCCAGUGCUACCGAGUGGUCCAAGGAAGCAACAGGAGGAAAAAAGUCAAAAAGUGGUAACCUGAGAGAAAAGGAUAACAUGAAGAUCAAUGAGGCCAGAGAGGACGAGGAUGCACAGUUGUUACAGCCACAAAGCACAGAUUUAAGUGAGUUUGAGGUGCCAUCCCUGAGUGACAACUUGCCAUCUGUAGCAGUCUCCCACUACAGUCACUCUUCUUACUUAGAAAGCAUAAGAAUGUCCUAUAGUCACCAUUCCAGGGGUUGCCACGCCCACUUCCCAGCUGUGAACACCCUUCCUGAGGUAAAAAGGGAUGGGCUGAAACAUUCACCACACCAGGGCAGCAGUGCUCUGCUUUCCAAAACUGCUUUCUGUUCAGAAGUCCCACAGUCCAGCCAUGCAGCAGACGAGCAUGGCACCAACUGACGUUGGGGGAAGCUGAUGGUGAAUGGUGAUGCACUGAGAGAGCCAAAUAAUAACCACUCGCACCAGACAGCAGACUUGAAAGUUGCUGUCCAGACUACAGUGUAGGCCCAUGAAUGCUGCAGAGUAAGAACCACAGAACAACCUUGUUGGGAGCUCGUUGAACCAUCUGUGACUGUUAAGCUUAAGUUACCAGCAAAAGCCAGGUUUUAUAAUUGUAAUGCAAAUACAAUUUAUAUGUCUAGCAAAGCAUUGUGUUUCUGGUGGCAUUAAUUACCAAAUUAUGAAAUGAAGACUUUAAAGUGUUUGUACCAGAAUAAAACACUGCUUGAUGCACAUACAGUUGUAUUUAGAUAGAGAAUUGGCUUAAUUUGUAAUCAUGAGAUACUAACACUGUUCUAUGGCAUUCUUAAGGAAAAUUGAGGCUUAGGGAUAAGUGGUUAGUGACAUAUUAUUGAAUCACUAAAGGAUGGAACUUGGCAGAUUACUCAGUAUAUGAUCCUCUUGGUAACAUUACUCUUCAUAACUGAGCUGAAAUGUCAUUUCUUCAUAUGCAAUGUAGAUAUCAGGCUUAAUGCUGCCCAUUGGUAGCCAUUCAGAUACUUAGACACUUGAGCAAGAUCGGGACAGUUUUGGCACAACUCUGAAGUAGAAAUACUUGGUACUGUUACAUACCUCUAGUGAGGUUGUUGCCAUUUUAGAAGAAGAAGGUAAAAGUAGGUAACAAACAGACUGACAACAGCAGAAGACAAUCCUAUUAGGAUGUAAGUAUUACUGUCACCUGUCACCUGUCACUGAGGCAAGUUAGUGCCCUUUGAUUCUUGAUGCCUUUGAGAGAGGCUGGAUUUUAUGAGCCUCCUCAUUUGAGGAUUUUGCUCUCUCAUUUCCCAUAAUGUCUUCUCUAGUCACCUAGGAUAAUAAAGACAAAUACAGCAAAUAGGUAAACAUAAAUGUGAUUAUUAACUACACUGAAAAAGUAUUCACCUACAAAGACACAUGCAGCCUUUAGAAAAUUUAACAUUACACAACCUCAACUUUUACCAUGACUAUCUUUUGAACCAUGAAAUCAAAACAAUGCAGAGCUUACACCAAGCUUACAUAAAAGGUCAAUGUGUGGCUUUGUUUCCUUUUGCUUUUGUUUACAGGGAACGUUCAGCUGACAUGAGCAGAGGUUGGCCAAAAUACUGCCUGCACUAUGGACUUCCCACACAACUCUCAUGGCAGACUGCCCUCAUGGUGGUCAAGUACUCCACCUUAGGUGUUUCCUCUAAGUGUUACCAUUAUGGUGACUCUGAGCAUUUUCUUUUGAUAAAGAAGGAAAAUGUGCAGGCUACAAUCCUGUACCAUCAUUUUCCUCACUGUUUCCAUUAAUCUGCUUAGAGACCACUAGUUCUUUUAGCUGAUUCUGCUCAUUAUUGUGUUUGUACAUUUGUUUGCAUUCUAAUUGUGUUCAGUAAUGAGUGUGCAAACAGGAGACAUGAAAUGAAUGUAAAUAAUAAUG